rnacentral:rRNA from 1 species
AUAUAACUAAGCGGAGGAAAAGAAACUAACAAGGAUUCCCUCAGUAACGGCGAGUGAAGCGGGAAGAGCUCAGACGUGUAAUCUUCGGAAUUGUCGUCUGGAGAAGCUAGAUCGCAAGGGAGGUAAACUAUUCUGGAAUGAAUGGCCGAGGAGGGUGACAGCCCCGUUCAUGCCCCCCGUAGCAGCUUUCAGCUUUCGAAGAGUCGAGUUGUUUGGGAUUGCAGCUCUAAUGUGGUGGUAAAUUCCAUCUAAAGCUAAAUAUUGGUGGGAGACCGAUAGCGCACAAGUA